UUGAAAUUCAUUCAUUAAGCUAAUGAGGCCCUGCGGUUAGCAGCCCACGCCUCCCCCGAUCCAAACAGGAGGGGCUUCACCUGGGUCCCGUGCGAUGGGCCUCGUGUUUCCCACCGGGUGGGACGACGGCGGUGGCGGGGGGCAUGCUGUGGGCACGGCGGAGCCGCCGAGGCUGCACCCCGGGGAACAAGCACCGCUUGCAGCAGGACGAGAGGUUUGGGGGCAGAGGGAGGCGUUGGGGCAGCCGCCCCUGCACGAAGCAUCCCUGGGCUUGCGGCAUGGACAGAGCAGGGUUAUCGUUCCCGGCUGGACUAUUCCCACCUGGGCUGUUGGUCAGAUCUGGGCUGUUGUUCCCCCACCCUGGGCUGUUGUUCCCCACCUCGGGCUGUUGUUCCCCUACCCUGGGCUGUUGUUGCAAGCAGUCGCAAGCCCCUGCCUCCUCUCCUCGCGUCCAGCAGCAGCGACAGCCUGAGAGCUGAGCCUGGCUUAGUGCCACGGUCCCCGGGGGCAGGAUCCCCAGGGGGGAUCACAGAGGAGCAUUACCAUCCUGCAGACAGCUCCCUAGUUAGAUAUAUUGGGGGUUUUCUGCAUCCCCAGAGGCGUCUGGGCCAAGUAUCAGGGUGGAUGGUGAGGAAAACCCGAGUGGGGGGCCCCAGGUGGUGCACGGGUCGGUGCGUGGGGACCCCGGUGUGGUCGCAGCCCCCGACACGGCACUGCAGCCCCGCUCUGCACGUCCUUCCUAGGGAAGAUUAUGGAGGCACAUUACAUGUGGAGGUAAAACGGAUGGAGGAGCGGGCAGGAGUGCUGGGUCAGCAAGUCGCGCAGGCUGGAAGCGAACGAUGAGCGCUCAGAGGGAGAAGGAAGAGACUGAGCUUAAAACAGUAACGCCCGCCCUGUCCCUCGGGAGUCCAACCGCACCCCAGAGGGCAAGUUUGGGACUCGCAAGUUGUCUGCGCUCCUCAGACGGGCAAGCCCUGAUCCUCGGCUGUUAUCUUUGGCGCUUUCUCCCUUCAAGCCUUCUACCUCUGUUUGUCUCCUCUGCAACGACAGGAACCUGCUGAGUUAAAACCCCAUGAGUGCCAGCUCUGGGGACGAAGCAUCGUGUCCCAGCAUGGUGUCCCCAGCCGGGGAAAGCGUGGGAGCCGUGUCCCACAUGGGUGCUCCUGCUCGGCACUUCGCAGUGCCUGCCUGCAGCCGAGGUUAAUGCAGGUAUUGCGGGCAAGGAAUCCGAGCCACCGCGCAGGGAGCUGCUGGGGAAUAGCUGCCGCGCUUUACAUUCACAGCCCAUCUAUUUUGCAAUAACUUCACCGUGAUGUUCCCACGUAGACAAGCCUAAGCUAGCAUAGAUAAUGAAAUGGGUUAAAGGAGACAGGCGGAGGGAGAGGAGAGGAGCCAGCAACUGGUAGUAAAUCAGGGAAAGAACAGGGUUACUUUAAAUUCAAGGACUCAGUGGCAGGGCGAGUUUGGUUUAUGCCAAGAGGCACACGGUUUAGAGGAUGAGACACAGUUUGGGAAGACAGAAGUGUCCCCUUGGCGGGGCCACCAACCCUUCUCUGUUCCCAUCAGCCCCCGUCCCACUCCCCCUCGUGCCUGCCCUGUGGGUGUCACUGGGAUUAAGCACGACCAUGGGCACCCGUCCCUGGGGGGUAAAGGGUGGUCAGGGGAUCCCGAAAGAGCUGCCGGCCUGGCGGGGCAGGCAGUGGGCUCUGCUCCACAGGGGGAAGGUCCUGCUCGUGGUCGGGACCCGGGGGGACCCAGCUGCUGAGACUCCCCCACCUUUGGCAUGGGUUUCGAGGCAGUCCAAACAAGCUAAUUAAAUCCUGCUCUGCUUAAUCAGAGCCAUUGAACACCAGUCAGAAGAAAUUAAUCCUGUGUUUUAUUAGAUGCUGUUUGAAGUCGCGUUUGGCACCUCAUCCUCGGUUCUCAUCUCCUUCUGGGGAAGGAAGAGGGACAUCUGCGGGGAAGAGCGAGGGUGCAGCAGAUGGCAGCGGGGAUGAUUCAGGGGCUCGGGGAAGGAGCUGACACUCCAGCGGCGUCCCCCGGGGUGGGGGGGGGAGAGGACAAGACACCUCUUCCUGCAUCCCACGGCCCACCCCCUCCCCGUGGCUGAGAGCCUACGAGCCAGCCAGGCAUCCCCCCUCCCCUCCCCCCCCCAAAAAAUACAUGUUCCUCCGCAUUGCAUGCUAAUGGCUCCGCACGAUAGGUCCCGCCGCAAUUAAAGCACGCGGAGCGUUAAUAUGCAAGGUGGAGAGGCCACUCUUCCCACAGCUACUCCCUCCCAAACCUGUCCUUCCUGCUGCGCAUCCCUGCCCACGGGGAGCCUGCCCACGGGGAUCCCACAGCAUUCGUGCCUUCCCCCCCCCCGCUGGGCCUGGGGGACGAUGCCUUUCCGCCCCCCCCAGCACCCAGCACCUUCUCCUGCCCUCGGGCUCGGCGGAGCGGGGUCUGUUGGGUGGGUGCUGUGCCACGCAGCCCCGGCGAGGGAGGCACCUCAAUGCUCGGGAGAAAUCCACAGGCGGGUGGUUGAAACAACCAGUUGGGCUCUUGGCUUGGGGGUUUUAAUGAAUCCUGGUGCCUUCAAGUGCUGCAACCCAAGAAGAACUCCCGACGAAGGGAAAGCCUGGCUGAAUAAGGUGGCCCACAGGUCGCCUUGGUACGUCCUCCUGUGACUCGGCCAGCCGGAGCUGCUGGCUUCGGGCGUGGGGAUUUCUUUUUUUUUUCUCAAAUUUCCUGUCACAACUUGUGUGAAAACUUUGCAGAGCCAUUUAAUUGCAUUCUGCGGUGGUGAUGAUACGAAAUUAGUCUCCCUUCUGAUCUUGAGCUAAGUUGGUCCAAAGCACUGGGCUUGUAAUUUGCUCUAAUCGUCAGGUCGCGGGAGAUGCGAAGGCAGGGCUGGUACCUGGUGAAUUCACACGGGCUGGGAGUUUCCGCCCUCGCCGUGCCGGUGUUGGAUGGCUGGCAGGCCGGGCUCUGCCGCCUUGGGAUGCCAGUGUUGAUACUUUAUUUUGGUGCUGUUUGCAGGAAGCUUUCCCUUGACUGCUCUUCUCCACCUCCCCUAGCAGCAGCUGAGAACUAGAGCGGGUCCGGAGGAGCUGAGGUGGAUUCCCAGCCCCUGGAGCUGCUCUCUCCUCUGAGCACCUCGGGGACAUCCACCCCUCCCAGCUGCAGACCAGCCAUCAGGCUGAAUUCCCCUGAGGAGGCAGAGAUCCAGGCUCUCAUCACAUUUCCCUGGGCUAGCUUCACAUCCCAAAUGACCCCGGGGGGGUUCAAGGAGAGGAGGCGGCUGGGUUUUGCCAGCUCACCUACCCCAGAAAAUCCCUGAGUUAAAAGAAAACAAGCUGCUGAUGAACAGGAGCGGGGCAGAGCGAUAUUCUGGGCAUGGAGAGGCCCUUUUGCUGCCGAGGGCACGGCGCCAAUCACGCCAGUGGCAGUAAUGCCUUCCACCUCCACGCAGAAGGUACAGAAUAUGAGGGUAUUAUUUUUAACCGGGGAUAUUUAGUGAACAUCUCCCUGGCUGCUGGAGGGUCAAAUUUAUCCCACAGCCUCAGUCCCAGGGGAGGCUCCCAGUUAUUUUCGAGCGCAUCAGAGCAGCAGAGGGAUAGGAAGGCUCAGGAGACACAAAGUCUGGGAUUUGUCUGGCCUGGCCCUUCGGUCUCUGCCGCAGAGACGCGCCGGGAGCAGAGCCCCCAACGCCCAUCUCACCAUCACCCCGACCCCCACCCUGCCAAGCAAAACCCUUGCAAAAGCGCCAGGUUUUCCUCUUUCCGACCAGAGGAUCUUGGAUGCCUUCAAGUUUUGAUCCUUUUCGACCUACCGCGUCGCAAGGAGAUUAUUUCCCCCACCACCACCACCACCACCUCCCUGUUCGUUUUAAGCUGUGCUUUAAAGCGAGUUUAGCCCUGCUCGGGCAGGUCCCGGUGGCCGUGAACAUUCCCACGGGGCGCAGCAGCACUACUCGCCGCUGGAGCAGCUACUCCUACGCCCCGCGGCUCCCCGAGCCUCCCUGCCCUUGCAGGAGGGUCGCUGGGCACAUUCGGCCCCGCUCAAACUCCCCUGAACUCUUCAGCAUUUUGCAGGAUGAGGCUCGACGCGCGCCGGCCUGCUGUUUGUGACGACUGGUAACUAACCAGGUAACCCCGACCCAGCGUGCUGCCUCCGUCCCUGCCGCUUCUUGUUGAUUUUGGAGGUAGAGGUGAAGCCAGGGCAAGAGGAGAAUUAAAAAAAAAAAAAAAAAAAAA